UACGGAGGGCGCGAGCGUUAAUCGGAAUUACUGGGCGUAAAGCGCGCGUAGGCUGUUGUGUAAGUUGGGGGUGAAAUCCCACGGCUCAACCGUGGAACAGCCCUUGAUACUGCGCGACUUGAAUCCGGGAGAGGGUGGCGGAAUUCCAGGUGUAGGAGUGAAAUCCGUAGAUAUCUGGAGGAACAUCAGUGGCGAAGGCGGCCACCUGGACCGGUAUUGACGGCUGAGGCGCGAAAGCGUGGGGAGCAAACAGG
rnacentral:rRNA from 1 species